rnacentral:rRNA from 1 species
GUCCACACAGUAAACGAUGAAUACUCGCUGUUUGCGAUAUACAGUAAGCGGCCAAGCGAAAGCGUUAAGUAUUCCACCUGGGGAGUACGCCGGCAACGGUGAAACUCAAAGGAAUUGACGGGGGCCCGCACAAGCGGAGGAACAUGUGGUUUAAUUCGAUGAUACGCGAGGAACCUUACCCGGGCUUGAAUUGCAACUGAAUGAUGUGGAGACAUGUCAGCCGCAAGGCAGUUGUGAAGGUGCUGCAUGGUU